UUAACAUGUCCGAUGUGGGAACAAAAUU
rnacentral:sRNA from 1 species